rnacentral:rRNA from 1 species
AGAGUUUGAUCAGUGGCUCAGGACGAACGCUGGCGGCGUUGCUUAACACAUGCAAGUCGAACGAUGAACCAGGGCUUGCCCUGGGGAUUAGUGGCGAACGGGUGAGUAACACGUGGGCAACCUGCCCCAGACACCGGGAUAACCUCUCGAAAGAGUGGCUAAUACCGGAUAUGACCACUUCGGGCAUCCGACGGUGGUGGAAAGGAUUCUGGUCUGGGAUGGGCCCGCGGCCUAUCAGCUAGUUGGUGGGGUAAUGGCCUACCAAGGCGACGACGGGUAGCCGGCCUGAGAGGGCGACCGGCCACACUGGGACUGAGACACGGCCCAGACUCCUACGGGAGGCAGCAGUGGGGAAUAUUGCGCAAUGGGCGAAAGCCUGACGCAGCGACGCCGCGUGAGGGACGAAGGUCUUCGGAUUGUAAACCUCUUUCAGCAGGGACGAAGCGAAAGUGACUGUACCUGCAGAAGAAGCACCGGCUAACUACGUG